CCGUACACAUAAGUCUGAGUGUUCUAAAACUUCCAGAAGCUUGGUAAGAGCCAGAGGAGACUGUCAGCAGCAAAAUCUGCAAGCAGUGCACAGAUCACAAACAUGACAGGUACUCGCAUCCUUGGGUUGACGCUCGUGUAUCUGUUGGUCGGACAGGGUGUGCAUUGUGGCCUGCCAAGAUCCAGAGGAGAGAAAUACCUAGCGGGUAAGCUCUGCGAGAACCUGCCAGACGGCACCUUCCGCCCCCACCCGUACGACUGCUCCAUGUACGUGCAGUGUUACCAAACGGGACUUGACAUGGUGUUCGGCUGUCCCCCGGGAACCCGCUGGAGCCAGGAACUACUGACCUGUGCCAGCUCGGAUCUGGUCAUUUGUGACUAGUCAGGAGACUAACAGACAAACAAUACGGACGAACCCAAAACCCAGAUGGACGCACGAGAAAAGCACCUAUCUGCAUCUUAGCUCAUCUUUCAGCACUAGUACAAAGAUGCAACGCUACAAAGGCAACCACAAGAAACUGCUACAGCUCGCUUGCUUGUUUCCCCGUCAAAUGCUAAUAAAGGGCUUAACUUCAAAAUCUCAAA